rnacentral:lncRNA from 10 species
UGGUCCCACUGGUCCUCAGAUCUAAUGAGAAGCAGGGACGGUUGGGCUAGAUUAGUGAUUUUCAAGUUGUUCUGUGGAAUUUCUGAGAACUCCAAGAAGAGGCCUCAGGAUCCCUUAAGUUAGGGCUGAGUGGAUGGCAAAUUGGCCUCUUUGCUGUUUCCUUUACCUCCAGAGUCGCUCCAGUUUUAUUCAUUCAUUCAUUUACUCAUUCAUGCUCUCAUUCACUCAGCACCUCUGGAGCCCCUUACACACAGAGUGUGCCAAACACCUCUGGAUAUUUAAAUGUUGGGCUUUUUCAUUAGGUUUACUGUAAGCAAAGCAUUUGUGGCCAAAAUACCUUUGGGAACACUUGGAGCAGAUCAUCCUCAAGGCACACUGGCCCAUGCCUGUAAUCCCAGCACUUUGGGAGGCCAAGGUGGGAGGAUUGCAUGAGCCCAGGAGUUUGAGACCAUCCUGGGCAACAUAGUGAGACUCUGUUUCUACGGGAAAGAAAAAGAAAGUGGGGACCAGAUCAUGUGGGUAGUCUGUGAAUCUCACCUUCAGGGGUUCUAACAGUUCCGGCUGUUUGUUCAGAACCUUCAGCCCAGCCAAGCCCUUUCCAUUAGCCUUCUCUUCUUGUCCUCACAAAGCCUUGAGGAGUUGAUGGAGCAUGGAUUGUGACUCUCAUCUAUUUUUUGGAUUAGGAAACUGAGGCACAGAAAAAAGUGAUUGUCCACGAUCCUUGGUUAGUCAUUAAAAAAAAAAUUAUUGAGCAUCGAUUUCG